GGGGGGGGGGGGGGGGGGGCGGGGGACGUGCGGGGCGGGCGGGGGGGGCCUGCGUUUGUGGGGGGCUCGAGUGGCGAGCGGGUGAGAGCCGCGUGGGUAACCUGCCCUUGACUGGGGGAUAACUUCAGGAAACUGGGGCGAAUACGGGAUCGGAGCUCCUGCUGCAUGGUGGGGUUGGGAAAGUUUCGGCGGUUGGGGAUGGACUCGCGGCUUAUCAGCUUGUUGGUGGGGUAGUGUAGUACCAAGGCUUUGACGGGUAGACGGCCUGAGAGGGUGACCGGCCACAUUGGGACUGAGAUACGGCCCAGACUCCUACGGGAGGCAGCAGUGGGGAAUAUUGCACAAUGGGCGGAAGCCUGAUGCAGCAACGCCGCGUGCGGGAUGACGGCCUUCGGGUUGUAAACCGCUUUCGCCUGUGACGAAGCGUGAGUGACGGUAAUGGGUAAAGAAGCACCGGCUAACUACGUG
rnacentral:rRNA from 1 species